rnacentral:snRNA from 1 species
GUCCCAUCUUGGCCUUUUGGCUAAGAUCAAGUGUAGUAUCUGUUCUUAUCAGUUUAAUAGAGUAUGGUUCCACAGUGAUUGUAACUGACCUAUGGACCAACCAAGCCUUUCUGCAAGAUGCUGAAAGUUUGGAAGAGGAUCGCCGACUUUUAUUUUUCUGUAGUCUCUCACUAUGA